rnacentral:lncRNA from 1 species
ACACACUCUGAUGGUUCCCACUUGAAAUUGCUCAUCAAGUGCAAAUAGCUCCCAGCCUGGAUGGCUGAGCUGCUCUCCAGCCUCCUCUCUCUGGAGUAAGAAGAUUUCAGCUUGUGACCUGCCCUCGGGACUUGUGGGUGUACAAAGCCUGUGACCCAGGAAACAAAGUCAACGGCUCACUUUGUCCCCACCCCACCCUACCCCGUCUCCCUCCUACUAAAUGCUGAAUCUCACGAGAGAAGAAAACCAGCCACAUAAAGGAUUUGAAAGCUCAACUUGCUUUCCCACUCUGUUAUCCCUGGAGUUGGCUUGGAUUCACCCUGAAGCCUUCCCCCUCCCGGGGAAAGUUGCUUCACGUUGCAGCUCAGCAGGUUUGUCCAGCUACAUAGGCUCCAGAAAACAAGAAGCAAGACUGGAAAGCUGGGGAUGAUUGUACGCCCUCGCCUGAAUCUUACGUGGUUCCUCCUUCUUCCACCUGGCCAGUGCAGAGCCGUGGGUGCCACGUGGCCACUUCUGGAUUGGGUUCCCCUUGGCCUGCCACCCUGUCCUUCUGCUUUCCCACUUUGCCAGCCAGAGUCAAUUUGAGGACGCCAAGUUCUCCUCUCCAUACAGAGCUCCUGGUCUCCUUGUAACUUGUAACUCCUGGGCACAGUUACAAGUGCUGAAUUCUUGCGAGGAUGAACUCAAGAUACAAAAUAUGCUUGGCAACUCACCCCUGAGUGGCCACAGGCACACGCAGGAGUCGAACCCACCCACCUCUGCUGACAGUCAUGGGUCAAGCUCAAAGUCCUGGCUGCUUCUCUGCUCAAGGUGGUGUCUCACUAUGUUGCCCAGGUUGGAUUCGAACUCCUGUGCUCAAAUGAUCUUCCCCUACCUCCAGGGUAACUGUGGAGACUACCAAAUGGACUCGUCUAGAUUUCACAUGCAACGUGGCUCUGCCUUCCCUGAGCACUCUGGGCCUUUCCAUGGAGACAGAAUGAAUAGAUAAUGAGCAUGGUCUAAUAAACAGAGAAGGCUCAGGAGGGUCAGAAACACGGUGCCUCAUUUCUCAGCCUACUUGCCAAGAAUUCCCAAAAAGGAAGCACUGGAGGAUCAUUCCAAGGCUUGAGGUCCAGGACUACCCACUUCCCUUGGAAUGGUGUUGCCAUCACUGUUCUGGCACCGGAGAAAGGAUUCUACAUCGUUAGGAGAAAAGAAAAAGGAGAAUUUGGGCUUGCACUGAGAGGAUUACCUUUGGUGGUCUGGAAGUGGUGGUAAGUCCUGGACAAUUCUCACAUUAAUCGUUUUUGCCUGUUUAAAAUGGGAAAAAUAAUGCCUACUUUAUAGGACUGCUAGGAGGCUUAAGUAAGUAUGUGUGCUUGUAAACUCUCCACAGAUGCAUGCUGUCAUUAUGAUCUUUGCUGCACAAGCAUUAUUUAACGUCCUCAGUGUGAUUUUUUAAAUUUCACUCUCACAAAAGAUAGGUUUCCUCUUCAUAAUAAACAUGCGUCUACUUCCCUUUUUGAACGUAAGAUCCCAAACAAAAAGGAAAUUGAUGUCCUUAUAAAAAGGAGCCAAUGCAAGAAGCAUCUAGAAGUAACUUUAGAUGCAGUGUCAAGAAGUUUAUUAGUGACAGUCAUGUACAUAGCACAGUGUAGAGUAAUGCAAAUCUGUGCUUAUACCACCCAUUUAAAAUAAUUUUAGUUAGCACAUGAAUUUGUUGCAUAUAAGCAGCACCUUUGACAAGUUAUUUAUUUAAAAGGGUCAGAUUCAGGCAUUGUUUCUAAAGUAGAACUUCAAUGGCAAAAUCUGAAAAUGUUAUUCUUUCAAUUAAAAAAAGUGAGUAGGUGUGUGUGUGUGUGCGUUUAUCACUGGUUUCAUGAGUAUUGCUGAUUCUCAUAAUAGACAGAUUAGAAAAUCUGACCAACUCUGUAUUAAUUAUCUAUUGUUGCACAACAGAUUACUCUAAUACUUAGUUAAAACAACAGACCUUUGUCAGUGUGUGGUUUUUGUGGGUCAGGUACAUAAAAGAGGUUCAGCUGAGUGGUUCUUGUUUGGAAUCUCUUAUGAGUUUUCAGCCAUGCUAUUAACAGGGGUUUUGAUCAUCUGAAGGUUUAACUGGGGCUGAAGAGCCUGCCCCCAAGAUGAGUCACUCUUGUUUAGUGGUUAGCAGGAAACCCCAGCUCCAUGCUGGCUAUUGGCAGGAGGCCUCGGUGUUUCACAAUGUGUACCUCUCCAUAGGAUUGCUUGAGUAUCUUCGCAACAUGGCAACCGGCGUCUCCCACAGGGACUGAUCUAAGAAAGAAUAAGGAAGAAGCCUCAAUGCCUUUUAUGUCUUAAUCAUGAGGUCAAAUACCAUGCCUUCUUCUAUAUUCUGUUUGCUAGAAGCAAGUUACUAAGUACAGCCCAUACUUAAAGGAAGAAGAAUUAGACUCUACUUUUUGAAAGGAGGAGUAUCAAAUAAUUUUUUAACAUGUUGCAAAACCAACAUAAGUUCUUUGGUAUAAAUUGCACUUUUCUAUUGUUGGUAUUCAGAACAAAACAUUUUUCACAAUUGCAAUAGCUACCUAUAUUAUUGGAUUCUCAGAAUACAGAACAUAAAUCUCUUUAUUGGUUAUGAAGAAAAUGAAUUCAGAGGCAUAAGGAGCUUUCUUCAGGUACAGAGAAGUUCAGUGUCCAACUCUAGACUUAGAUCUAGAAUUCCGAUAUAUAAUUUCAUAUGCAGUCAGAUUACAUCUAAAUAAUAAUAGCAAAAACAGGGCUCUUCUACUGUACUGUAAUUUACUUUUCCAACUUUUGGCUACUUACAAGAUCACAAACAUCUGGAUUUAAAUUGGAAACAUCUUCUCAAAAAUCCAGAUGUUUCCAAAUAUAGGUGUUUUUUUUUUAAGCCAUCAAAAACCCCUUGGUGAAUGAGUAACUAUGCAUGUUGAAUGGUUAUCCCAUUAAAAAUCUAACUCCCUUUCCCAAUUUACGUUAUUCUAGGUGGAAAGUUUCUAAUGUAAUCCAGUGUUAAAUUAGGAGUUUGGACUGACUGAGGCAACAAGAUAUAAGAGAUGUCAGAUAGCAAAGUGAGGUGAGAGACAGGACAUCAAGUCGGAAAUUUUGAAAGAAACUCUCCUGAAACCGCACAGCUUCUGUGCCUCUCCUCCAACAUUCCUCACCUAGGCUGAGGUUAAGAAGGGGGAUGUUAGAGUGAGGCAUUUGAAUGUUAGAAAAGCAAUCCCCCCACCGCAAAUAAGGGAACAGCCUCCACACCAGACUGCUUAGAGUUGAUAAAAGACCUCUGUAGGCCAAAGGCGCAAGGAACUCGUACCUGGCUCAUGACUUAUAAGACUUUGCCUAUGAGAAUUAGAAAACUCAUGAAGAGUUCUUGAAUUUUCACUAAGAGGCAGUGAAAUCAUUACUUCCACAGAACAGGUUUAAAGGGAUAGCAGAAAAUGAAAAUAAAGAUACUUUUAUAACUAUCCCUCAUGCAGCCUCUAUGUUUAACACAUGGAUCCACUAAAAUAUAUCACAGACAUUUUCUGCCUUUUAAACAAAGUAUGGUGAGUUAUUAAGAAAAGGUUAAGUUAUUUUCAGUGUUAUCAUGACUAAUGCAAUAAUUAAAAAAACCUUGGAUUUGAAUACUACAUUUUCAAAGUAACUCAAUACAAUGAUGUCCCCAAGGCUUAUGGAGAUCUAUGGGGUUAUUUACCCCAGACUCAUAAUUCUUACAUGUGUGUUUCCAAUUUUCCUGACACAUCAUUUGGUUUCUAUAUUUUCCAUUGUCACUUUCACUAAUUUCUUCAUGCUUCUGUAUAUUAUCUCCUCUCUCUUCUUUUAAUUGAUGUUUGGGAGAUAAACUUGUUGGAAUUGUGAGUGAAAUAAGAUUAAAUAGUACCAUGAUCUUUAUUUGUUAAUUGCUUGCUAACCAACAUUCUACACAGAGAAAGGUGCUGGAUAACUGACUUAUGAAUAAGGGAAUUCUGACUCAAUUUAUGUAUUAGGUAAAAAUUAAAAACCAGAGGUGUGUACAUACGAGGUAUUCAUUGACAUUAAGUAUUUGAUAAGUAAUUUUGGCUUCAUUUUUAAUAGGAUUUUUCUUUAUGUACUUUUAAAUUAGUUAAUUAAUUCGGCUAGUACAUAGUGAGUACCUAUUAUGUGCCAGAUGCUAAGCUGGUAUCCAUUAAUGCUGAAUUGGAUUAAACUGUUUAGUCAACUGCUUCUAUUUGAGUUCAUGAGCUCAAUCCUAACUGUGCUCUGUAACUUGGGCCAAGAAAUGGAUUUUCCAUGUCUUUUGAGAAUGGCAAAUCUCUUAUGCCACUUAAGAAGAUGAAGAGACAAUGCAUUUAAUACCAGAUGGGGAAUGAAUUCUAACCCAACAAAUGGCAGAGGAUUUGCUGUGAGGCCUGACAGCAAUAAAACUCACACUUUACUUUCAUAUGAUGCUUUAGUUUUCCAGAUUUCUUUAAGAACUGUCCUUGUAUUAUACUUCCACAACAGCUUUCUGAAAGGUAAGAGAACUCUGAAUUCUGUUACAAGUGAGGCUAAAUGUUCUAAUUGCCGAGAGCCAAUAACCAAGCCAGGGCUAGAGUUGCAUCUUUAUUCUGUAAAAUCCGCCUUUUCUUUCUUAAAUCAGGGCUCCAGCCUGGGCUUUGGAGGCUUAAUUUCUGCUGGUAUAAUAUUUAUUGGGCUGAUUUUGAUGCAAUGCAGAUCACAUAUUUAAAGAUAUAAUUGGACGUCCUUGUAGCCAAGUGGUUUCUCCAGAGCUCGAAAUGCACCAUCAGUGCCUGUGUUUGGGAACCUAUAUAUUUCUGACCUCUGCUCUACUUCAUAAAAGAGUUGAGUUACCAGAAACAGAACUGAAGGCCAAGAGUGGUUUUCAUGCAUUGAGCCCUUGGCAUUGGUUCCUGGUAGCAAACCUCUGCCCUUCAUGCAGCAGGAAGCUGAGAGAAAGACCUGCUUCCCAGGGCUAGAUGCUUUGGGAGAAGACAUUCCUCACCACCAGGUCAGUGUAGAGGCUUCUGCUGAGGCAACAAGGAAGGACUGAGGCUGGAGAAGGUCCAGGGUGUCCUAAUUGCCAUUGACUUCGAAGUCCUGCUUCCACUGCAGAGUGAAACUAUAAGAGGAAAGAGAAAUUUCCUACCCUACUGACACUCCCCACUUCCAGAAGCUCGGCUUCUACCUAUGGAGCUGUCAGGCUCCCUUUUCUGGUCAGCACUGGGGAAGUCAGUGAUGAGCAAGCCAUUGAGGCUGAAACACACAUUCAGGGUUUGCAGCCAACACCAACGUUUCCCUCAUUGCACAUAUUGUGUUGGGACAAUGGUCUGAUCAAAUGUUUCCUAAUUUCAUUGUGGACUUCCUCUCUCUAAUGAGUCCCUUUCUCCCAGCUCUAAAUAAAGAAGAUGCUAAAAACGUGACACACACUACAGAUGGGUCACCCACAUCUGGGCUUUUCAUCUUAAAGACGGGGUGGGGGUGGGGAGGACAGUUAAGCAAGACAUGGCUGACUUUUCUUAUAAAAGGGGUGAGUGGGGAAAGGGGGGGUAGAGAGAUGAGGGAAUGAGGCCGAAUCAUCCACCAUUGUUACUGAAUGACAGACAUAUCCAUUGGGACUAAUUAUAAUAACGAUCCCAGUCCAUAACUGACUCAGAGCUUGAGUGUCCCUCUCUAUGCCACAUUCUCAAAUGUGGGCACCUGGAUUGCACCCAUGAAGUUGACAUUUACCAGAGAAACCCAUGUACAGAUUGAUAUUUGCAUGUGAAAACUGGAUAAUUGUGUGUGUGAGAGCAAUAGAGUUUCUGUACACAAUUACCAGCCUCUCCUCGAGAUGUUGGGAGCAGUUUCUGGUCCUUUGGGAAACUGGCCUGCAAUUUGCUGGUGCAGACUGGAGUUCGGGGAGUGUAGGAGACACAUUCCCAGGUUUUAGGGAAGAAAGUGUGAUGAGUUGAGAUGGAUGCAUUGACCAUCUGUGAUGCACUCAGCACUGUAACAUGGUGUGUAAGACCACAGACUGUGCCAUCGGAUGGACCUGGAUUCCAAUUCCAGCUCCACUACAGCUCUCACUAGUGCAAAGUGCAGGAGAGUGUAGUUUCUUUGAGAAGCUAUAAAUAACUAUAUGUUUGAGCAUUGGGUCUGCAUCGUAUUGUAGCAGAAUCACGUAGGUCUCUGUAUUAGGCAAGGUUCUCUAGAGGGACGGAACUAAUAGGAUAGAUGUAUAUAUGAGGGGGAGUUUAUUAAGGAGUAUUUACUCACAUGAUCACAAGGUCAAGUCCCACGAUAGACUGUCUGCAAGCUGAGAAGCCAGUGGUGGAUCAGUCCGAGUCCCAAAACCUCAAAAGUAGGGAAACCGACAGUGCAGCCUUCAGUCUAUGGCCAAAGGCCUGAGAGCCCCUGGCCAGCCACUGGUGUAAGUCCAACAGUCCAAAAACUGAAGAACUUGGAGUCCAAUGUUCAUAGGCAGGAAGCAUCCAGCACAGGAGAAAGGUGAAGGCCAGAAGACUCAGCAAGUCUGCUCUUCCAUCUUCUGCUUGCUUUAUUCUAGCCAAGCUGGCAGCUGAUUAGAUGAUAACCACUCAGAUUGAGGGUGGAUCUGCCUCUCCCAUUUCACUGACUCAAAUGUUAAUCUCCUUUGGUCACACCCUCACAGACACACCCAGGAACAAUACUUCGCAUCCUUCAAUCCAAUCAAGUUGAUGCUCAGUAUUAACCAUUACAGUCUCCAAGGGAACAGAGUUGGCACAGUGAGGUUAAGUCUUUGGCAGAACAAGAUUUGAACCAAGACUGUCCCUUUUAAUUGUCCUGCAUUUAGCCAUCUCACAUGGGUGUUCAGUGAGCACUUGGUGAGUAAUGGGACUCCAAGCACAAAGAUGUUCAUCAUUCUUCUGUGUGUGAGUUUUCCUCUUCAGUUUGUGAGCCACACUGGGUCCUGUAAAGAAGGAAUCUUCAAGCCCAGUUUUAGGGAUGCAGGUAAUUUCCACAGCCAGUGCUUCCUGUGGUCAGUAUUGAGGAUCACAAAAGCCACAAGAUGCCACAAGGAGUCUGUCAAUUUUCUUUUUGUGUGUGUGUGUGUCGUCCAACCUGGAGUGCAGUGGCGCGAUCCCGGGUCACUGCAAGCUCCACCUCCCGGGUUCAUGCCAUUCUCCUGUCUCAGCCUCCAGAGCAGCUGGGACUACAGGCACCUGCCACCAAGCCCAGCUAAUUUUUUGUAUUUUUAGUAGAGACGGGGUUUCACCAUGUUAGCCAGGAUGGUCUCUAUCUCCUGACCUCAGGUGAUCUGCCUGCCUCGGCCUCCCAAAGUGCUGGGAUUACAGGCGUGAGCCACCGUGCCUGGCCAGGAGUCUCUCAAUUUUCUACCCCUGGCUUUACUGUAUCUUUGGCUGAAUCCUCUGCCUAGAGUGAACCAUGUCUUUCUCUCUUUCUCUUCUGCUCUUCUCUUCCUCAAGCUCAGAUGAAGCUGUACCUCUUCUUGGAAAAACAAACCCAUGAGAAAGGCACUAAUCCUAUCGCCACUAUAUGGAUGAGGAAACUGAGUUACAGAGAGAUUAAGUAACCAAUCCAACAUCAUAGAGCCAAUAAGUAGCAGAGGCAGGAUUUGAAUACUGACAGAUUGGUUCUAAAACCAGUGCUCCUAACCAUUAUACCAUGCAACUGCUCAAUUAGAAUAGCCGUGUGUGUGUGUGUGUGUGUGUGUGUGUGUGUGUAUACUGAGCUGGACCCUCAGUAUAUACAGUCAGUGAAUUUUUAAUGAAGAAGAAGGUGAGGAGUUUAUUUUGGCCUUGGACAGAUCACCAAGUAUUCUUGGGUUUAAGGCACAUUUUGGUAGUUUUCUAACUUUACCAGCAGAAUGUAGUCAACGACUGGGAAGAGUGGGCCUCGGUGGCGUUUUUAUGCCACCAACUGGCUUUAAGUGCACCAGCUAAAAGCAGUUUCUUGCUGGAGGAGCUGCAAGAACCAGGGGAAAGUGGCACUAUUCGUGCUAUGGUGUAAGACAUGUUGCAGAGUCACGUGUUCUGUUGCCAAUUUUGGAGGAAUGCCGUGAUGUAUUUUCUGUUGCAGCUCUGGGGCUUCUCCUAAACUCCUACUCCAAUCCCCAAGGUCUUUUUUUCCCCCUUCUGCAACAGGCUCUAGGAAAUCAACACACUUCCCUCUCCCUCAGAAGCUGCCACUGUCCUUUGGGGUUGGUUUCCUUAACACCCUCUGAAGACAAACACAAAACACCUUUUUGUCUUUAAGGCUUUUACUGCUAAUCGCAAGGGGAAAACAGAGCAUCACAAAAAUGGCAAUGAUGAGAAGCAGUAGAUGGUCCAGCAUCUUACAAAGUCCAUGUUGUCUGGAUCCUUUGUAGUUUUAAAUUCCUUCUGAAAUCAUGAAGGAAAGCCUCAAAGAUCUUGUGCCCACUUCUGAAGGUUGAACUCGCUUAAUCUUCCCACUGUUUUCUGAUUUCUCCUUUAGUGAGGUCAUAGGAAUAAUUUUCUUCAUGUGACUCCUCUUCCCAGCCUCAACAUGUAGUCUCUGGGUAUCCAGUAGGUGUUUGACUUCUGUAAAGACUUCCAGAGUGAGUUACUCUGGCUGGUUCAAUGCACUGCUCUUUCUCUGGGUCUUUCCCUACACUCACUAAGGUCCCCAAAGGCAGGAACCAUUCCCUGUUCUUCUGUCUCCUCUCUUGUUGAUGGGUUUAUGGCCAAAAGCCUGAGCUUAUUGUCUACACAAGCAAUGUAGAAAUGGUUUAUGGCUUGACUUGGGUCUUUAUCCCUGAAAGUAAUUCUCUGAUGGUAAAUUUGUACUUUUAUACUUGUCAUGAAUCGAAGGGCCUUCAGGGGAAUGUAAUUUUUAUUUAAAACCAUCUAGUAGAUGUUGGCAAAUACAAAAAUAGGAGAGUGGGUUGAGCCAGUCUGCUUGGGUGAAUGUCUGCUUGGAAAUCGCAUACUAGGAUAUGCUGUAUUGAGUAAUAAAGUAAAGGCUGUCUGGAGUCAGAUAGAUGUGGAGGUGCAAGAAGAGGGUGUACAAAUGUUCUUAGAGAUAGAUCUGGAGGUACAAGAAGAAGACGUACAAAUGUUCUUACUGUGCUUAUACCAUUGAAUGUACUUUGAUGAUUUGGUGCCAGAAAAGCAGAGAAACACAACUGCAAAGAAGCAAGAAAGGAGAAAGUAGGAUCAGAGGACCUGGGGAAGGGGCAGCCAGACCUGAGAGGCAAAGCUUAGAGAUCAGACAUCAUACUUGGGCUAGGAAAGGCAGCAUUUGAUGAGGCAAGGGAGCAGGGAAUGGCAUCUCUAAAGUAUGACCUGAGAUUGAAAGCACGUCAAGAGAAAGCCAAGAGCCGUGUGAAGCAAGUAAGAAAUAUCAGCCCCAAGAUCUGCUCUCCCUUCAGUAUGGGUGGCCUUUUCCUGUUCUCUUGUCUGCACUUUCUCAGGCAGUUGUGAAUGAUGAGGCCACCCAACAGAAAUGAUAAGCCCUCGAAACCUCCGUUUUGUUAUGCUCUUUUUCCAGCUAAGCAAUUUCUUCAUGAUGUGGGGCAGAGGGUUGGAGCAACGGUUCCCAGCAGACCACCAUGAGCUUCUCAUGAGAGAAGCUGCCCUGAAAAGAUACACGAUUGAGAGCAGAUGAUGAUAAUCAUUAUCAUCAUUUUGGCAAACUUAGAGGAGAACGCAUAUAGGAUACUAAAAUCUUAUGGUGCUGGCGAUGCAUUUUAUGGGAAUCUGGCAUUGAUUCAGAAGACAGUACUUCUACCCUGAGACUGUUGUAAUUUCAACAACUUAAAAUACAUGCCCACUUUAAGACAAUAUGUCAAGACUAUAGUGAGUGAAAUAAUAAUAAUAGCUAUUGUAAUUUGAAUGGGAAUUUCUUACCGUAGCCUGAUUAGCAGAGGGUCUUUAGUCAAGGACAUGCAUUAACAUCAUCUAUUGUACGAAUGAUAAUCUACUAAUGCAAUACUAUUAAUACAAGAGUCGCUUUGUAGAUUUGUCAUCAUUAUGUUAUAUGUCCAAUGAGUGUAUGUAAAAACAGUUAAGUAUUUCUCCAGUGUCCUUCUCCUUAAAGUAGCCCAUAUUUUAAGCUCAUCCAGCUCUGCUUCACUUGCAUGAGCAUCUUCCCCAGGCUCCUGGAGAAAGUCUGUUGCUUGGUCUGACAUCUCCUGCUUCUCUCCUUGGCCAAUCUCCUUUUCAACGUAAAGACCUUAUCCCUUAUUUCAAGCUCCUGAUUAGUUGUCUGUUUCUGUUGGUCUCAUGGACCUCACUACCUGUUUUGGAUGGAUUAUCCAGCUCUGAAGGGCUGUCAGACUCUCCUCCCAGAGGACAUCCAUCUAAGAACCCCUGUUCUUCAUCUCAGCACACUUUCUCUUAAUACUCUUCUUACUGAAUCAAAGAGCUGGGAGCUUCCACCUCAGUGUGGAAGAGCCAUAGGCGCCAGACUCCAACCCAUGAGCGCAGCUACAGGGGGCUGCAGCCUGGAAUGCCCUAGGGGCAGAGCCUACCUCUUGCACCAGGUUGCAGGACAUGGAGUCAAAAGAGAUGGUUUUGGAGCUUUAAGAUUUAAUGACUGCCCUGUUGGGUUUCAGACUUGUGUGGGGCUUAUUGUCCCUUUCUUUUGGCCAAUUUUCCCCUUUUGGAAUGGGAAUGAUACCCAUUCCCUGCACCAUCAUUAUAUCUUGGGAGUAAAUGACUUGUUUUUGAACUCACAGGCUCAUAGGUAGAAGGAACUUAUCUCCAAUUGAGACUUCAGACUUGAAACUUUUGAGUUAAUGCUGAAACGGGUUAAGACUUUGGGGGACUAUUGUGAAGGCAUGAUUGUCUUUUGAAAUGUGAGAAGGACAUGGGAUUUGGGGGGCCAGGGGUGGAAUGAUAUGGUUUGGAUGUUUGUCCUCUCACAAUUUCAUGUUGAAACGUGAUUCACAAUGUUGGAGGUUGGAUUAUGGCAAUGUAUUCCUCACGAAUAGCUUAGCCCCAUCCCCUUGGUGAUGAGUGAGUUCUUGCUCAGUUAGCUUAUAUGAGAGCUAGAUGCUUAAUGAGCCCAAUUCUUCCUGCACUCUCUCUUGCUCGUUUUUGCCAUGUCAUACACCUGCUCCCCCUUCACCUCUCACCAUUGAUUGUAAGCUUCCUUAGGCCUCACUAGAAACUGAGCAGUUGCUGGCACCAUGUUUGUACAGCCUGUAGAACCAUGAGCCAACUAAUCCUCUUUUCUUUAUAAGUUACCUAGGUAGUUACCAGGAUUUUUUUUUUUUUUCGAAGUCUCAGUCUUGUCCCCCAGGCUGGAGCGUGAUGGCGCGAUCUUGGCUCAUUGCAACCUCCGCCUCCGGGGCUCAAGCGAUUCUCCUGCCUCAGCCUCCUGAGUAGCUGGGAUUACAGGCACCUACCACCACACCCGGCUAAUUUUUGUAUUUUUAGUAGAGACAGGGUUCCACCAUGUUGGCCAGGCUGGUCUCGAACUCCUGACCUCAGGUGAUCUGCCCGCCUCGGCCUCCCAACGUGCUGGGAUUACAGUCGUGAGCCACUGCGCCUGGCCCAGGUAUUUCUUUAUAGCAAUGCAAAAACAGACUAAUACAGAGGCCGUUAAGCUGCCUGCCACAGCUAUGUAAAUAGUGCUCACUACAUGAUAUUAUAGUGCAUGUUAUAGGGAGUCAUGAUUAUAUUUCUUUUCUAUACAACUUUUUAUUUUCUUUGGACCUAAUAUUUGCCUCUUUUUUUCUAUUUGCUUGUGUUUUACAUGUAUCUAUUAUUAAUUCAUCCUUAAACCAUCUGAUACAGCUGACAAUCUUAAUUCCUAAACAUGCCAACUAUUCUUUUAGUUCCAUCUCUCUUUUCUUGGCAUCAUUCCUCAAGAGCUCUCUGUCUUUCUUCUCCAAUUUGGGUUUUGCCUUUUUGGGGUGCAGCAUAGGUGUUUUCUUGUGGUUUCUCUUCACUACCAUCCUGAUUUUUUUCUCUCUCUCUUCUGUUUUAGACUCUCUGUUUCCAGGAUCCCAUGUCUUUGUUGUUGUUGUUGUUGUUGUUUAUUCUCCCAUUUAACCGACUCACAUCAACAUCUUUCUACCAGUUCUCCUGUUAUCCUGGCCUCCUGUGUGAUCUGUAACCCAAACACCUGGGUUUUUCCAGGAAUCUUCAAGGAACAAGAUCUUGUAUUUGUGGCUUUGUCUGGGGCAGGUUUAAAUUUCAACACUCCCUGGUCUGCUAACUCAGCCGCAAUUCACCUCUCUUCCAGCUCUCAGCUUUUGUUGAUAUCAAUUGUGUACUGUCAUCUCUCAAAGUCUCUUUGGCCGUGUAGGCUUGAGCCGCUUUUUAUAUCUUGCUGAUAUUUUAGUGAGAUUUCAGCAGGGAGAGAAGAAUGGGUGUGUGGACACCUCUGUGCUGGGAACUGAUUACUUGGCUUCCACACUUGGUUCAGCUCUUCCACUGAAGGCAUGGGAUUGUUUAUUUUUCCCACAGAUAUUUUUGAAAUAUUCUAAAAUGGAAGCUAUUGCACUAACUGCCACUACAUUAUUUAUUUUGUCAUGUAGUAGGGUAUCUGCUGAGAUGGCCAGACCCCAUUGCUCUAUUUUUUUAAUAGUAUAAUUUCUUUUUUGCUUUGCUUCAAAGACUCUAAAUUAUUUUAAUAGGUUUAUAUAUUUUUCUUUUCCUCUUGAAUUAAGACAGAAGUAAUUUUUCCAAUGACUCUGUUAUCUCAGUUUUGUAUUAAACCUCUCCAGCUUCACUUAGUGGCUCCAGCAGGACAAUCUAAGGUGUGUAAUAGGAAUGUCUCAGUCUCACUUGCCCACUCAUACAAAUGAAACCAUGGUUAUAAAAAUACUCUUGCUGGCUGCAGAAAACUAAACUGCAUCCAGGAUUCUUUUCUCAAUUUUUUUCCAUGAAUCCCUAGGGAUAUUAACAUGUGUCCAGAAAUCAGUUGUGGUCAUUUAUGACUUCACUGCUGGCUAAGCCAGGACCACACAGUAGUCCCAUGCUGGAAAUUUCUGCAGGGUUCACUCUGUAGUGAGAACAUUGCUGGUACUGCUGGAGGUACCAUUUUCCAUGAAAACAGGCUCCUCCUCUCUCUGACACAGAGGAACUAGGCAUCUCUAGCCUCAGCGUCAGUCACCCUUGCAGGUGACAGACAAGCUCCAGUGUUGGGUGCUUGGGAGUGGAGAUUCUCAGGCUUUCUAUGUUAUGACUUGCCUCUUAACCCUGGCAUGGCUGAGCUUUGGUCUUCCAGCUCAAACCCUAAUAGAUCUUCAGGGAUGGGGUUCCCAUCAAGCAGCAACCUCCACUCACUUGCAGUAGGUCUUUGUUAAUCCAUCCAUGAGAUAUCUCCAUGGUAAGAGGAAGGAUAUUCUCACCCAGCUUUACUGCCUGGACCCAGUGUAAUCUGGCUCUAUCAACUCAACAUACUCUCACCACAGCAUCCAUCCUCCUUAAAACUUCCACCCUUUCCUGGGAAUUCUCUCUCUCAUUCAUUAGGCAUGCUUCUAUAUCCUAGAAACCCAAGGGGUAUUAGAGUUCAAUCCACCUUUUCCUCCAUGAGCUCCUCAGUUCUUAUGUGGAUUUAAGUACAAAUAGACUCAGGGGAGAAUCCACCUUUCCUAGCCCUCUGUCCCAACUCUUCUGGCCAGCCAUGUCUACUGCACAGUGUAACAGAAUAGCUGAAGGGAAAUUUUGUUUAAGACAGUAAUCUCCAAAGUGAGUUUCACAAGUGGUAUGGGAAGGAAAAAAUAUAUAAUUUCUAUUUAUUUAUUUAUUUAUUUAUUUAUUCAUUCAUUCAGAGACAGAGUCUCAUACCGUUGCCUGGGCUGGAGAGCAAUGGCGCGAUCUCGGCUCACUGCAACCUCCGCCUCCCGGGUUCAAGCGAUUCUCCUGCCUCAGCCUCCCGAGUAGCUGGGAUUACAGGUGUCUGCCACCACGCCUGGCUAAUUUUUUUGUAUUUUUAGUAGAGACAGGGUUUCACUAUGUUGGCCAGGCUGGUCUCAAAUUCCUGACCUCGCGAUCGGCCUCCCAAAGUGUUGAGAUUACAGGCGUGAGCCACUGCACCCAGCCAAUUUCUAUUUAUUUUUUAAUUGCAUGCUUUAAAAAAAUUUGCAUUCAUGUUUUACGUGCAUGUGUAAACAUUACAAUCUAUGGUCAAACAUUUUUUCUGAGUGGAGUACAGUCUUGUAACAGUAGGUAAUCCAGCAGUGUCCACAAGAUGGACCUGUGGGGCCCCAGACACCCAUUGUGUUCGUGUAUUUAAUAAUUUCACUUGAAGGCUCACUGUUAUAGUGUUUCUGUGUGGAUAUCAAGACUGCUUACUCGUUUUUACUUAUCAUUAGGGUGACGAAGGUUUUUGCUUUCCAGUCUCAGGAAAUUCACACAAUAUUUGCCUACCAAGGCUUUUAGGUUCAUAAAGCAACAUUAAAAUAUAAAAUAAAUCGUAUUGAACUUCUGGUAUUACUACUGUUAUUACCUAAAUUUUGUCACCUGUGGUGAGAUACAUUUUCAAUCUUUUUUCCACUUGUGAACCAAAUGCUCCCUUUAGGUUUCUUUACAAUUGCUAUGUGGCUAAUUGCUUUCAGCUACAGAAAGCCUAGAUAUGUAUGGGUUUCUCUUUGAAUUAGGCCUUCAAAAAUUUGAAACAAAAAAAAUUGACAAACGAAUCUAUUUACCACAGCAAACUGAACUGCAUAUAUUCCUAUUAAGGUCCAUUUAUGCAUUGCUGGUAGACGUUGCUGACUUCCCAGACUUUGGGACUGGCUUAUCCAGAUGGACUCACGUGAGGCCACGUUGAAGAAGGGUAGCAAAUCACUCAAUGGCAUAAACACUGAGCUGCAAUAUUCGUGUGGCAAGAGGGCAUGUGUGGAGAGCAUGGGCCGGGUCUGACUUGCUAGUUGCAUAGUCUCUAAGGCCAGUGACUCAGGUGCCAUAGAGCACUGCAUCUGGGAUUUAUGCUGUCUCGAAGUCAUGUGUUUCAUUCCUUACUCCAUAUCCACGGCCAUCGCCAGCCUCCAAGAGGACCCCUGGUGAUCCCCACCUCCUGAUUUUCAUACCUGUAUGGACUCUUCCCACAUUGGACAAGGGGUGGUCUGUGUGACCAAUAAAAUAUGGCAAAAAUGAUUGCAUGUCACUUCCAAGAUGAGGUUAUGAAAGACACUGUAGCUUUUGUCUUGGUCACUUUCCUUCAUUCUCUUUCUCUCUUGGAUCAUUUGAUUCUGGGGAACUGAGAUACCGUGUCAUGAGCAGCCUUGUGGUAGGCCCUGUGCUAAGUGCUGGGUAUACAGGGAGUGCACCAUAAUUGUGCCUGUGAAUAGCCACUGCUCUCCAGCCUGGGCAACAUAGUGAGACUCUGUCUCUAAAAAUUUUUUUUUAAAUUAAAAAAAAUUUUUAAAAAUAGAGAAAAAGGAGAUGUUGACAAGAUAAAUAAUGUGGGAAACUUAAUAGGCAGAAGUAUCUGAAAUUCAACUAGAAGAAGGAACAGAACUUGUAUUGAUAUUCUGGGGCCAUACAUAGCUCCAAGAAGAAUUGCUGAGUAGAAAGAUACCUGCUAGAGGAGUAAGUUGCUUUAUGAUCAACUCAUGUAUUCAUUUUUUCAUCCAAUAAUUUCUAUUGAGUAUCUGUUGUGCAUUAAUCACUGGGGUAAGUCAGAGGUAGCUCUAACCUUCAUAAAGCUUAAUUGUACAGAGAGAGAGAGAGAUACUAAUUGUACAAAGAGAAUUAAAUCGCUAUUAAAAAAUUAUACUUAAAUAAAAAGUUUCCUUUAAAUACUGGGUAUACAGAGUUAAGAUACAUUCCCAUUUAAAAAAAAGUAUUCAGUUUUUCAGAGGAGACAGCAAUGUUCUCAAGCAGUGCAGUGCACCAUAGUACGUGCAACAGCAGAAGAGUGCAUAAAUCUUCCCUGGAGCUUCAAGGAAACCAUGCUUGUCUCAGCUUUGGUUCAUUGAAGAAUUGCCUUUUAAACUGGAGAGGAAAAAAAAUAGAUGCCUUGAGGCAAAUGGGGAGGUGGAGAGGGGAAAGGAGUCUUUUCAGGCAGACAACUACAGAUGUAAGGGCAGGAAAUUGAGUUCUAUAUGAAUUUAAUGGGAAAAAAAAAGGAACUUAGAACUUUCUCUCAUGGACCCCAAUGGAAAUAUAAAAGAUGUGUAAGAGAAAAUGUCUGUCCUCUAAAAUCUUAUGCCUUCCCAAGAUUUGAAGCCAUAAGAGAUCCCUUGAAACUCUGAGAAUGCUUGAACCUGAUGCUGUCCAAUAUGGCAGCCACUAGACCUAUGUGGCUAUUUGCUUCUUGAAAUGUGGCUGGUUUGAAUCAAAUGUGCUGUUAAGUCUAAAAUACCAAAAUUUGGAGAUGUCACAAAAAAGGUAAAUUAUCUCAUUAAUAAUUUUGCAUUGAUUACACAUUGAAAUGAUGUUUUUGGUAUAUUGAGUUACAUAGAGCACAUUGUUAAAAUCUAUUUUAUCUCUUUCCUUUCAGUCUUCUCAAAGGGACUGCUACUAAGUUUAAAAUGCUAUCUGUGGUCUGCCUUGUGGCUGGCAUUGUGUCCCUUGCGGACAGUGCUGGUUUAUAAGCUGCUGUGGCAAUGGCCCAAGAGAGCCUCUGGCACCAGCAUUGUGGAUGGGAAAGAAGGAAGAGGGCCCAGACAUAUUGAGAGGACCACAACCCAUGUGCUUUCCUCGACACUCACUUGGUGCUGAGGGGGUCUAGUGUAGGGCCUGGGGAAAGCUGAGCUGGAGAAGAGGUGGUAUUGGGUUCAGAUUCAGAGAUGGGUGCUGUGUGCAGGCAGCCCUCUGACAUGGGUGCUGACACCCAUUCCUGGUGACUGGUGCAAGAUAAUGCAUUCACUCCACACCCUCCCACCACAUCGGAAGCUUUUUAGUUCAGAAUUCUUUGGAACAUUUGCUUCCCUUUUGCUUCUAAUAUUAUAGCAUGGGUGGAAGAAAAGAGAAGGGGCUGUGCUCUUAGAAAGGGAAGGGAUACUUGGCAAUAGAGGAGAAGCCUAUCUAAUGUCUUUAGAGGAAUUGAGUCUGGUUCUGGACACAUUCCAUUUGCUCUGCUGGAAGGUCUGAGAGUCUAACAAGUCUCUAUCAGGCUGCAUGAUUUGGGGUCUUCAUUGGGUAUAUGUUGGGGCAACCCAUAUCUUAUUUUCUUGACUUGUAAAGGCUUGGAACUAGGCUUUAUUGGGCUGAAAAAGGAAAUAGGAAUUUCCUGGGUCUAAAGACUUCAUGUAUUGACCCGUAAUUGGAGGGACUGACCAGAUCAAUUGCUGGAGGUCAUCUGAGUUGUUGACCAGGCUCUGAAAUGGGGUGCUGAUUCUAUUUUAGUCUCUCUUACAAAUUGCUGUGCGACCUUGCCAAAGAUAGCAGCAUCUCUCUGUCUUUAUAUCCUAUUGGUUAAUCAAUUUCUGGAUCUGAAUAGCCAGGGUGCUCUGUAGAUUUACUUUAAAACAUUUUUUAAGUACACCAUCAAUAAGAACAUCGUGCUUUUUUAGGUAGAAAGCACUUUGGAGGAGAAUUAUUGAUUGUGUUCCAGGACCUCUGAGUGGAACUGUAGUAUUAAUAGAAGAGAACAUUGCCCAAUUCUGGGAAUGUUGAAGCAGGUGGAAAUGAACUGGGGGAACAGCAUCUUCCGUGCCCCCUUCAGGUUACUCCAGACAGUUAAGGCAUAUGUAGUCUGAACUAUCGCCACACAGCAGACCCAGGCUGGCUAGCCCUCCUAAUCAAAGACUUCGUGUAGAGUUUUAGGGAAUAACUUUGUUUUAGUUUGUUAGGUUGCCAUAACAAAGUACCACAAAUUGGGUGGCUUAAACAGCAGAAGUGUAUUCUUGCAUAGUUCUGGAGGCUGGAAGUCUGAGAUCAGGGUGUUAGGAGGGUCGGUUUCUUCUGAGCGUUUUGAGCGUGACUCUAUUUCAUGUUUCUCUCCCUAGCUUUUGGUGGUUUGCUGGUAAUCUUUGGCAUUCCUUGGCUUGCAGGCUCAUCAUCUAGAUCUCUGCCUUCAUUUUCACAUGAUGUUCUCUCUGUGUGCAUGUCUGUGUCUAAAUUUCUCCUUAUAAGGACACCAGUUGUAUUGGAUAAGAGCCCACUCUAAAUCAUUGUAACUUGAUUACUUUUUGUUUCAUGGUGGGCAGGUCUAUGCAACCCUACUCCCAAAGUCCAAGGAAGCUAAGAGGCUAAAAAAAGAGGCUGACAAAUCCAGUUUCUUAGAAAGAACUGGGACUUAUGAACAGAAGCCAUGUCUGGGUUUCAGGGGAUGGCGAGACAAGAUGGUGGACCGCUGCACCAUUAUCCCCCAGACCCAGGGCUUGUAGACCAUAAAAAAAGGGGUGGUUCAGAACGGAUUUGUGGGACAAUUGAAGUAUGAUAACAUCAAGGUUGUCUUACCUAAGGGCAAGAUUUACAGUAAGUACCUAAGUUUACGCAGGAAACAAUAGAUGAACUGGAAAUCUUAGAGACCUUCCUGGAACUGUGGUUAAUCAGAAUCCAACAUGGCUGAUUAGCAUCCAAGAUGGAGUCACUUAAACCUCCACACUUCUGUAAAGAACUUGUCUCCAAUCAUCUUACAUUCUAAGGAACUGGGGAUUAGGACUUCAAUACAUAAACAACAUAAACUUGGGGGAAAAACAAUUUGACCCAUAACAAACUCCAUUCAAGGAAAGUAUUGAUAUCUUUUGCCUUAUGUUAUUUUUAUAUAUACCAAGUGGGCCUAUUGAGUAACCUCCCCUUGUUGAUGGAUCCAUGUGAACUGGUGUUACUUUUCUAUAACUGCUAUGUUUGUUUUCUUUUAAACAUCUUUUACUCUCUAGGUCCUCAUUCCUUGAGCAUAUCCUACGCUGAUUCCAUAACUUUUCACUCAUUUGGUUGUUAUGAUUCUGAUCCAUUCUUCCCUAAAGGGGAAAGAAUAACAAAGAAGAGGCUUUGUUUCUAGUGGUAUAGCUGGUAUGAUGGAUACUGUACAGGACCCUCCCAAAUCAAACAACUAAAAUACUAUUUCUUUAAAGAUAUAAACACCUUUUUCUUUUUUUUUUUUCGAGAUGGAGUCUCGCUCUGUCGCCCAGGCUGGAGUGCAGUGGUGUGAUCUCGGCCCCCACGCCUGGCUAAUUUUUUGUAUUUUUAGUACAGAUGGGGUUUCACCAUGUUAGCCAGGAUGGUCUCGAUCUCCUGACCUUGUGAUCCACCUGCCGUGGCCUCCCAAAAGUGCUGGGAUUACAGGUAUAAGCCACAGCGCCAGGCCAUAAACGCCUUUUUAAAUACACUACUGAGCUGAAAUGAAAGUAAGACACCAUCAGAGUUUUUCUUUUCCAAUACACUUUUUAUUUUGGAAUAAUUUUAGAUCUACAGAAAAGUUGCAAAGAUAGCACAGAGUUCCAGUUUCAGUUUCCCCUAAGGUUAUUAUCUUACAUUAAGAUGACAUAUUUUUCAAAACCUCCGUAUUGCACCUGUAAUCCCAGUUACUCAGGAGGCUGGGGCAGGAGAAUCGCUUGAACCCGGGAGGCAGAGGUGGCAGUGAGCUGAGUUGGUGCCAUUCCACCCCAGCCUGGGUGACAGAGUAAGACUCCGUCUCAAAAAAACAAAGAACAAAAAACAAAAACAAAACCUCCAUAUUAACAUUAGUACAUCACUGUUAGCUCCAGACUUUCUACAGAGUUCACUCGUUUUCCCAUUAGUGUCCAGAAUCCAUUCCAGGGUACUGUCCAUGGUGUAUUGAGUUGUUCUGUCCCAUCAGUCUCCCUUGGCCUGGUCUAUGCCAGUUCUUCAGUCUUUCAUUGUCUUUCAUGAUCUGGACAGUUUUGAAGA